rnacentral:tRNA from 1 species
GGCUUUCUAGAGCGGUUGUGAUGUUCGCACUGUGUUGACAUCGCAGGGGUCGCAAGUUCAAUCCUUGCCACGCCCACCA